AUCCAAAAAUCAGAGAGAAAGACUUUUGGAUCGUGGAGAUAUAAAAGACACAAGUUAGGAUGUCUAGAGAGAGAAACGAGAAGAAGAAGAGGGUCUUCUUCUAGGGUUGUUUGUUUUCAUAUCUUUCCUCUCUCCAUCUUGAGUUUCCUGAGAGCAUCUCAGAUCUGAAACUCCUCCUUCUACUUUUCAUCUUUGGAAGAGUCCAAAUCAAGAAGAAGGAGGCACCUGAUCAACCAUCAAAGAAGGAUCAGCGCAGUACUAGCAUACUGUGCUG
rnacentral:lncRNA from 1 species